GACGAACGCUGGCGGCGUGCUUAACACAUGCAAGUCGAACGGAAAGGCCCUGCUUGCAGGGUACUCGAGUGGCGAACGGGUGAGUAACACGUGGGUGAUCUGCCCUGCACUUCGGGAUAAGCCUGGGAAACUGGGUCUAAUACCGGAUAGGAGUCAUUUUUAGUGUGAUGGUUGGAAAGUUUUUUCGGUGUAGGAUGAGCUCGCGGCCUAUCAGCUUGUUGGUGGGGUAAUGGCCUACCAAGGCGGCGACGGGUAGCCGGCCUGAGAGGGUGGACGGCCACAUUGGGACUGAGAUACGGCCCAGACUCCUACGGGAGGCAGCGGUGGGGAAUAUUGCACAAUGGGCGCAAGCCUGAUGCAGCGACGCCGCGUGGGGGAUGACGGCCUUCGGGUUGUAAACUCCUUUCGCUAGGGACGAAGCUUUUUGUGACGGUACCUAGAUAAGAAGCACCGGCUAACUACGUG
rnacentral:rRNA from 1 species